CACGGAAUUAGCCGGUCCUUAUUCGCGCGGUACCUGCAGACCUCCAGCACGUGGAGGGUGUUAUCCCCGCGCAAAAGCAGUUUACAACCCAUAGGGCCGUCAUCCUGCACGCUACUUGGCUGGUUCAGACUCUCGUCCAUUGACCAAUAUUCCUCACUGCUGCCUCCCGUAGGAGUUUGGACCGUGUCUCAGUUCCAAUGUGGGGGACCUUCCUCUCAGAACCCCUACUGAUCGUAGGCUAGGUGGGCCGUUACCCCGCCUACUACCUAAUCAGACGCAUCCCCAUCCAUGUCCGCGAAGCUUUACUCCAAUUCAGAUGUCCUCAUCGGAGACCAUGGGGAGUUAGUCCGCCUUUCGACGGGUUAUUCCCCAGACCAUGGGCAGGUUGGAUACGCGUUACUCACCCGUGCGCCGGUCGACGCCUAGGGAAAGCAAGCUUUCCCUAUCCGUUUCCCUCGACUUGCAUGUGUUAAGCCUGUAGCUAGCGUUCAUCCUGAGCCAGGAUCAAACUCU
rnacentral:rRNA from 1 species